rnacentral:rRNA from 1 species
CCGGCACGGGUGAGUAACACGUAUCCAACCUGCCGUCUACUCUUGGCCAGCCUUCUGAAAGGAAGAUUAAUCCAGGAUGGCAUCAUGAGUUCACAUGUCCGCAUGAUUAAAGGUAUUUUCCGGUAGACGAUGGGGAUGCGUUCCAUUAGAUAGUAGGCGGGGUAACGGCCCACCUAGUCAACGAUGGAUAGGGGUUCUGAGAGGAAGGUCCCCCACAUUGGAACUGAGACACGGUUCAA